rnacentral:rRNA from 1 species
UACGAAGGGGGCUAGCGUUGUUCGGAAUACUGGGCGUAAAGCGCACGUAGGCGGAUCGAUCAGUCAGGGGGUGAAAUCCCCAGGGCUCAACCCUGGAACUGCCUUUUAUACUGUCGAUCUGGAGUAUGGAAGAGGUGAGUGGAAUUCCGAGUGUAGAGGUGAAAUUCGUAGAUAUUCGGAGGAACACCAGUGGCGAAGGCGGCUCACUGGUCCAUUACUGACGCUGAGGUGCGAAAGCGUGGGGAGCAAACAGG